rnacentral:rRNA from 1 species
UACGUAGGGUGCAAGCGUUGUCCGGAAUUAUUGGGCGUAAAGAGCUCGUAGGCGGUCUGUCGCGUCGGCUGUGAAAUCCCGGAGCUCAACUCCGGGUCUGCAGUCGAUACGGGCACACUGGAGUACUGCAGGGGAGACUGGAAUUCCUGGUGUAGCGGUGAAAUGCGCAGAUAUCAGGAGGAACACCGGUGGCGAAGGCGGGUCUCUGGGCAGUAACUGACGCUGAGGAGCGAAAGCGUGGGGAGCAAACAGG